AUGAACGUGCUCCGACUGGAGUCUCAUGUUGCUGGUGUGGUUGACUACCUUGCUAGACUAAAGGUUGCGGCGUCGCGAGUUGACACGACACUCUGGCCAGGAGCGACGCUUCAAAAUGACCUCGAGUCUCUAAUGACUCGACUGAAUGAAGUUCCAGGUCGAGUGCAAGAAUGUAAGAAGUCUUCUGCCAGGUGCGGCACUGACGUUGCUCUGUCCCUGGUCCGUGUUCACUGCAAGGAUGCGCGAGAGGAAAAGCUGGCGUCCAUCAAAGUUGCCAAUACCAAGAAGCACGACUUCCAAUCUUUCAUGGAGACCUUCAUUGCUACUGCCACUCGGAUUGCUAGCGGAAUUGAGUUGGACCAGUUUGUCGCGCCCUCCAGCCCUCCACCCGAGGAGUAA
rnacentral:rRNA from 1 species